UUUACUAUCCCUGUUCUCUGUUUGAGACACUGCUGCCGUUAAAUUGACUUGAGCACCACACAAGUCUGUCAAAUUUAAGAUAAUUUUGUCUUUGUUAAGGUAAUUUUUACUUUCCCCUGAAAAUAAACGAAACAAAUAUCUGCUUGGUAUUUAAACGUCUUGUAAAAUAAACUAAUCACCAACAGAGGGCAGUGUAGCUCUUUGAUGCCUUUAAACUCCCAUCAGCCACCAGAAUAUUUACCUGUUCAUGGCGACAGAAAACACAGGAUGAAAUCCUUCCACACCCUUGGUGUUGUUGUUGCCAUACACGUUUUGUAAUGCGAAAUAUGUAACACACAGGGAUUCGAAGGAUCUUGUCAUGAAAGUUUUAUAAAAAAAAGAGACUUGAGAGAUUUGGAUGAGAUGUUCUGGUGUAUAGAAAAUGUAAGCAGCUCCUUCACAACACAAACCGCGGAAACCGUGUAUUAUGGUUUUGCUGCAGGGUGAUACAUGGCAAACAACAUUAAACUUAUUUCUGAUCCCUGAAUUCCAUCUUUUUUCUUUACAGCACCAGAAGACAGCAACUCUUUAUAUCCCUCUAUUAUAAAAAUGGGACUGUCAGUAUGGACAGAAUGUUUUCAUCAAGUUUUUAAAAACGUGGAAAAACAGUUUUGUCAUUUGACAGCAGCAGUAUAUCAUAGUUAAACUGCUUUUUAGCCUUCAGAUGGUUUUGGCUCACAUAUCAAACUCCCGAUAGUGAUGUUCCAAGAUCACGAGAAAGGCAAAAUCAUUACAGAGAUGUUGAAAACAAAAAAACAUAUCCAGAAUUGAACUUUCUAAGAUUCUUUACUCAAAUAUGUAAAUGAUACACAAGGUUACUGGGUUAUUUAAGGAAAAAAUGCUGUUUGAUUUCAGAUAAACUCACAAAUCAUGGUCAUGUGCACUUUGCACAUAAGUUAGAUUUGCAAACUGAAUUUAGCUAACAUUUGCAUGAUUAUUGCACUGAGUAUAACAUUUUCACCAACCUUAUUUGACUUUGCUGGAACAGCUGUGCAGUUGCGAACUAGACAGGAAAUCUCAGGUCCUCCGGUGGAAUAAAGGUGAAGACUCGGAAGGUCUGGAAUCAGACGUUAAAUCAACAUGCUUCUGAGAUAAAAGAGCAUCACUCACAGAAACAACAGACAGGUGGCAUCGUCCAUAAAUCUGACAGAAGCCAAGCGAGCACGGUCAACCCAAUGACACACUGCAGCUUAAACUACUUGGAAUAUUAGUCAUAGUUGCAUCUACACAUAACAAGGAAGCAUGCUUUUGGAAAAAUUCACAUGAAACUAAAUCAGCUUUACAUUUAAAUCUGUGUAUUUUCAAAAUAAUUACAAAUUACAACACAGAGCAGUUCUUACAGUAUUUGCUUUAAAGGCCGGAGGUCCAAAGGUUGCAGUGUCACGCAUUCAAAAUAAUCCAAAUCUCUUCUGCAGUCACAUCUAAUUCCCUUUGUUAACUUCUCUGAUGUCAAUCACCAAUGGCUGCUCUAAAUGUGGUCUCUGCAUUCUUUCACGCCACCCUGAACAUGAUGAUUAAAGCAAAUAAAUCCCCCUCUGGCUGAUCAAACAUUGUUUUGAUUUACUCUGUACCUCACCGGGAAGAAAAUGUGACAGGAACAGAUGUCUGUGUAUUUUCUUUCUGGUUAUUAUAAGAAUGUUUUGAAGACGAAGGGAAGCAGUAAUUUGAUCCCAUCAUCUCACAGCUUUGCUAUCUUAAUGCCCUGCUGAUAAAAUGUCAGGUAGAUGGUGGCAAAGCUAUUAACUUCACGGUUACAAACGGCUGUCUUCACCAGCUUGGCAUUUUGAUGAUCUGCUACUCAGCUUGUAAACAGUAAACAAAGUGCUGUCUUUUUCUGAGUCUAGGCUUUUUACACUUCUGACCUUGUUGAGUUCAUGUGUUAACGUGUUAAAAUAAAUCAUUGUGGUUUGUAGCUCAUGUUUUGAGCAAGAUGACGCAGGAUCAAUUUUCAUUUGUCCUGUUUUUUGUAUAAAAAUGUAAAAAUAUAUCUUUAAAGGUGCACAAAGUAAGAAUUACAUCUUGUGGUCAAAUGUGGGUACUGCAAUCCAUUUUCAAAACAGAAGAAGCUUUCUCACUCUUGUUUGUGAGUUUCAUGGCUGUUACAGAUCAGCACCAUGACAUUCUAGAUGACAAACGAAGACAAGUCAUCCACAUUAAAUCAAUGAAUACAUUAAACAAUACAUUUUAUAGUACAAUUGAGUUGUUGGUAAUUGAAAAAGUGCCAUGGUCCGUGGUGAGCUUCCUGCCGGUAACCCUGUUUUCCUCUGAGCGUUGCUCACAGGUGGGCGUGUCUGAGAGCUUCCAGCUGCAGCUAAUCCUGUCAUCAAGGUCCAGGGGAUUUAAGGAGCAGUGUGACACUUCACUCCGCCAGAUGAUUACUCUGUUUUGGGUUUUUGCUCCACACUCCAUUAUUCCAUAUCCACCCGGACUUCUACAACCUGAUCACACUGCCUCCUCCUCUGGCCGUCCGCUCUCAGCCGCUCACCUGCACUCAUCAACCUCCGCUCCUUUCUCACCUCUGGAUCAAACUGUUACUUCACCUUCUGGAUCUCCCCAGCUCACCCGAACCUGACCUAAUCCUCCCCGAGCCUCUCACCACUACCUGCAAUCAAGUCUCCUCCUGGAAUCUUGCUGCCAGUCCUGCACUUCGUCGGUUCCCGUUUCUCCCUUUACUCCUCAUUUAAUAAUAAAGAACGUUUUUACAUACUUACCGGUUCUCUGUGUUGUGAUUCUGCAUGUCGUGGGUCAAGAAACUGCCACCCACCUUGACAAAAAGUAACUUGAGACGUUUUUAAAGCCGACUAUUCGCAGGGCUGCAAACUAUCACACAUUGAGUGUGCGACAAACUUCUGACUACCUUCACACGCUCUCACAUCACACCUUCAGUAUGGAGCCUGAGUCACGCCUAUCUCAGAAAAUAACUUUAAUGGCCAUUUGGGAAUAUACUUGCUUUGUAAUGAUGCGUACGUGUGUUUAAAAUGGCAGCCUUGCAUAACUUGUGUGUAAUUGAAGCAUCGUAUGAGAGUGUCCUUCAAAAUUAAUGCCACGAAUUCGCAUGCUGCAAUAUACGAGUAACCAGAGGGCAGAGAUGACAAAACGGGCAAGACACACUUGCCAUGGUCACACCGUCUCUGGCUUAAAGUUAUUUCUAUCUGCAACAAUGCUGCUGUCUUUUUUUCUUCCAUGAUCCUAAAAUGAACCAGUUACUAAUCUCUAUUGACACCAUGUUUGUUUUGGUUGCACCCUACAAACCCGAGACUCCAUCUGGUCUGAGUUCUCUACUGUGCCGCCUAGUGGAAAACUCUAGUACUAUGUGUAGUGCAGCAGCAAUUUUGUAAACAAUGCCUGCUGCCAGUGUCAAUGCAACGUUAAAAAGCUCCCUAUUCUCACUGAAAAGGCGAGUCCCCCUGUUACAUGUGAGGCCCGGCAUGAGGCCUCCCGCCGUAGACAACGAAAGGAUAUCACAGGAGCGCAUGCUCCUUCCCCCAUUUGGCAGACUUGUAGUGACCCUUUGCACCAACGUCACCUAAUCACGUGGGUCCACUAUGCUGGACGGCAAAAGCAUGUAAACAGUAAGCGACACGAGUACCAAACAAAGAGAAAAGUAGAGCUUGAAAUUGUUUUGCGAUCAAAACAAAAACAAAACUCCUCCAGCAUUCCUUCAACUAGUUCAUGCCCAGUUCAGUUAUCAGAAGAAGUAGCACAUCUAGCCGGGGCUCAUAGAGAGCGUAUGUUAACUAGCUUACCAACGUUAGCUUACGUUCUCUCUGCAGCUGUUCAUCGAUGUAAACGUGUUGCUGACUUUGCCUAAAUUCACCCCUCUGGAUUUAUAACUUUAUGUUAUAAACAGCGUUUUACUUUACACCAAAGCUGAUUUUUAAAAAGUCCAGAUCCCUACCGGCUUCUGUUGCUGGUGGUGUUACCGGGUUCAGCUGCUGCUCUCACACCGGAAUGAGAAGAUCUCUGAACGGCAACGCUCAUAUAAAUAAAUAACGAAAUUUUAACACACGUAAUCAUACAUCGGGGCUUUAAUAUGGUUAAUAAUUGUCUCGCUUUACACUACAGUCGAUGGAGCACACCCUCCAUGGUGAAAUACCCAUCCAUCAGGAUUAUCAAUAACUAGUAUUAACACAUCACAUUUAUCCCUGUCGCUGUCUUCCUCAUGAAAUAAAUGAACGUUAAUCUUACCCGGUAAAAACGUGUUCGCUGCAAAUCUGAGGGCUGCUAGUCCACUUGAUUGAUUGCUGCAGUUCAUCUCCGUCCUCAGUCUCCAUCAAAGUUAUUAAAAAAACAAAACGAGUUGAGUUUACGUCCUUGUCUGUUAGUGCAGCCAACCACGCAGCAAGCUAAAACCAUUUUACUGUCAAAUCAACUAAAUUAAAGCGAGAAAAGGCUACAAACUGGCUUGUUUUGACUAGCUUCACUGGAGAUUCAACGGGUGUAAACAGUCAUUUUGCCGCCCAUCAUGGCGAAGGGGGCGGUCACAUGAGUGGCGUGACAUCACGUGCAAAGGGUCAAUAGGGAGCCUAAGUCUCCUCCCUUUCCGGUUGGCUCAUGGGUCUUGACUGCAAGUCAAUGGGGCUAACGGAGCUAUUUUCUAAUCUGUAUUGCCUUCCACCCUGGAUCGCACACAUGUUCUAUUUAAAUGAAAAGUAAUGAAGUGUUUUUCGACCACACCAGUCAAGUACUUUGAGAUUUAUCAGCUUGUAAAAGUUCAUAAUUAGCAUGAUUACAAAUCAGACAUUGGCACGUCACAUAUAAUACGUCUCCACAGAAUCCUGUCCCCUAGCUUAGCUGCUACUCACCAAAUGGCCAAAUAGUUCCUUCCUCCUGAAGGAAGGAUUUGGAGUUUGCUGAACUUACAGUCAUUUUCCUUCUGUUUUUCUCCAUGUCUGAUUCGAUGACAUCACUUUUGUGAAGCACUUUUGUGGUCCUGGACAUAUUUUUGCACAAAACCUAAAAUAACGUUUCACCCUGUUCGAAAAUAAACACUUUCUUGGUGUGAAAAUGCUUCUUUAAAAUUCAUGGACAUCAUAUGUGAAAUCAAUGGCACAUAACAGGCGGAUUUAGAAAAUAACAUUUUUAGCCCCGUUGACUUGCGUUCAUUUUUUCAUUCUUCCGGAGACUCAUGAUAGAUGGGCAUGAAUUAGGCUCCCUAUUUGUUUCUAUUUCCCUGUUUUCACUGGUUUUUCUAGUCUUCUUCGCCUGAUGUUAGAGUAAAACAAAAAGGACGCAAUGACUUCUUAGGAGUACAAGAAAUAACUUAGCUGCUCUUGUUAGGUUUGUUCCAAAAUGUUGCGUUUUGCUGGCUGGUGUUGAAUUGCAAAUGCUGUUUCAGCAGCAUUAGCAGCAACCUCACAGAAUGUAAACAAUGACUACGCCCAUCUUUGGCCUCAUUGAAAGGAAAAAAACUGACAACCCCUCAGUCGACUGAAACCUUUCUUCAAACCGUCCUUCAAACAAAAUUGAGACAUUACACUGCUUAAUGAUUAUUUAACUCUAAAAUUCUUACAUAUUGUAUCUUUAAAAUUGUAAAACAAUAAUACAAACAAUGUAUUAAUUCAUUAUCAAGAGUGCAAAAUUAGAAAAAAGCAGUUGUUAUGGUUUAUUUUAAAGUUUCAUGAUUUUUAAGAAUCAACACUAAAUAUGGGUCAAUACAGAGAUCGAUGUGAGGAGAACAAAAUUAUACAGUGAGUCAUUUCCUUUAUGUCUGGCUGAGUCAAAUAAAGCAGUUCCUCUAGUUGAGACGUCAUAAACGUCAGAAUCGAAGCCACAAUUUUCAGGCCUUCAACUGGCCCAUUAUUCUGCACCGGAUACAUCGAUGGCUUCUCUGCCAAAUGAAAGACCCAAGCAGAUGU